ACCCAGUGUGGUGCAAUGGUGAGAGUGUCAGGCUAGGACCUGGGAGAUCAGGGUUCAAAUCCCCACUUGGGCA